rnacentral:rRNA from 1 species
UACGGAGGAUCCGAGCGUUAUCCGGAUUUAUUGGGUUUAAAGGGUGCGCAGGCGGGGGAUUAAGUCGGCGGUGAAAUUUUGCAGCUCAACUGUAAAAGUGCCUUCGAAACUGGUUUCCUUGAGUGUAGAUGAAGUAGGCGGAAUUUGUGGUGUAGCGGUGAAAUGCAUAGAUAUCACGAGGAACUCCGAUUGCGCAGGCAGCUUACUAAACUACUACUGACGCUCAGGCACGAAGGCGUGUGGAUCAAACAGGAUUAGAUACCCGGGUA